UCUGACAGUAGGUUCACCUAGUACAGGAGCAGUCAUGGAAGCUUCAUCAGUCUGACAGUAGGUCCACCUAGUACAGGAGCAGUCAUGGAAGCUUCAUCAGUCUGACAGUAGGUCCACCUAGUACAGGAGCAGUCAUGGAAGCUUCAUCAGUCUGACAGUAGGUCCACAUAGUACAGGAGCAGCCAUGGAAGCUUCAUCAGUCUGACUGUAGGUCCACCUAGUACAGGAGCAGUCAUGGAAGCUUCAUCAGUCUGACAGUAGGUCCACAUAGUACAGGAGCAGCCAUGGAAGCUUCAUCAGUCUGACUGUAGGUCCACCUAGUACAGGAGCAGUCAUGGAAGCUUCAUCAGUCUGACAAUAGGUCCACCUAGUACAGGAGCAGUCAUGGAAGCUUCAUCAGUCUGACAGUAGGUCCACCUAGUACAGGAGCAGUCAUGGAAGCUUCAUCAUUCCACACUGUAGUUCUACCAAUCUGUUUUAUAGCCUCUGCAUACGAUACAUCAUGACUGAUCCUAUAUCUCUGAAGCCUCUCUAGCCUUUC